AUGUUCGUGUGUUCCUCAUGUGACCAUGGUGGACAUGAAGAUGGAGCAAAACCUCCUCUCCGGGAACAAAGAGACCCAGACCCCAGCUGGCUUCCUGGGAGCUGGUACCAACCUGAAGCAGCAGCAGCAGCCCAUCGAGGUUCUCCAGAUCCAUACAUUAUGUAUGCCACACCAGCACCCCCCACCCCCUCUGAAUAUGCCUGGCCUCCCAGAAUUUGGCAGCAGGAGCUCAUGAACGAUCGCAGUAGGGGCCCCAGUCGCUCUUCCAUUUGCACCUGGGGCCAUUCCACAGAGGAAGCAGGAUCCUUGGAGCCCCCCCUGCCACUCAUGUCCAAUAUAAACUUCGAGCCAUUCAAUCCAACCCAGUAUCGAGUCCAACACAUGGCUGGUCCAGAUUCAAUCCUGAGAAUAGGUCUGAGACAGAACACGGGCUACCUACCAGCACCCAUUCACAGGAACCAUUAUUAUAACAAUCCUGAGAACCUUGCAGGUCCACUUCAGGAGACGCCACCCCAGAAUCAUCCUCAAAGUAGACGUCCUUCUCAAGUAGCUCCAAACACCCGCCAUGGAGUUGCUCCUCAGUGUGCACCACUUCCUGGAGACGUAAUGCAUGAAGUCAGCGUGAACAGCUCCAGCCUGGCAAGUCCAGGAGCAGCCACCAAGGAGGUCAAGAGGACUAUUAGUCUGCCCGAGGAGAGCAGUAAGCCACACCCAGGCCAGACAUGCUUGUCAUGA
rnacentral:lncRNA from 1 species